rnacentral:rRNA from 1 species
UAUUGGGCGUAAAGCGAGCGCAGGCGGUUAGAUAAGUCUGAAGUUAAAGGCUGUGGCUUAACCAUAGUACGCUUUGGAAACUGUUAACUUGAGUGCAGAACGGGAGAGUGGAAUCCAUGUGUAGCGGUGAAACGCGUAGAUAUAUGGAGGAACACCGGUGGCGAAAGCGGCUCUCUGGUCUGUAACUGACGCUGAGGCUCGAAAGCGUGGGGAGCACACAGGAUUAGAU